rnacentral:misc_RNA from 1 species
GAAAUGCGAUAAGUAAUGUGAAUUGCAGAAUUCAGUGAAUCAUCGAAUCUUUGAACGCACCUUGCGCUCCUUGGUAUUCCUUGGAGCAUGCCUGUUUGAGUAUCAUGAAAUCUUCAAAGUAAAUCUUUUGUUGACUCAAUUGGUUUCUACUUUGGUAUUGGAGGUCUUUGCAGCUUCACACCUGCUCCUCUUUGUUCAUUAGCUGGAUCUCAGUGUUAUGCUUGGUUCCACUCGGCGUGAUAAGUUAUCUAUCGCUGAGGACACUGUAAAAGGUGGCCAAGGUAAAUGCAGAUGAACCGCUUCUAAUAGUCCAUUGACUUGGACAAUACUUUUAUGAUCUGAUCUCAAAUCAGGUAGGACUACCCGCUGAACUUAAGC